CCCAUAACAGUCAGCGAGACUUUUGCCGACACCUUCACAGGCUUAGUGCACGAAUAUUUUCAGAGAGAGCAGGAAUUUGCAGAAUUAGGAUCAACUUCUAAUCAGUUCCAGGAAAGGAGGCCUGGUACUUGAAAGACAGAUAAACUCUUCCCCCUGGCGGCGUAUGUGAGGCAUUGACAGACGGUCAGUAAAAAGAUUCCUGGAUUGUGAUGGGAGGAAUUCUCGGAUUACUUUGAAGAGUCAUUAAAAACAACACACUGUUGUUUUUAAAUCUCUGUAAAGUUCGACACCCUAGUGCUUUAUUCAUGGGAAAGCAUAUCAGAUAUUUGAUGAAUUUGCUACCACAAUAAACUGGGUAUCAUGUCUAGGAAGUCACCCCUUUAUCCAGCUAUAAACAGAAGAUGGGAUUUACUUAACAAGUUGCUCAAGUCUGAGCACAUACCCUCAUCUUGCUAGUGUGGGGACAAAGUUGCAGCUGGGUGCUCUUACACCACUGAUCUGUAGAGGAAACAACCCAGAAGCAGUAGAUGACUCAGCAGUCCAGUUCAGGGCACGGCCUGAGUCACAUUAGGUGAACGGAGAGCUUGCACCCCAGAGGAUAAUAAUUGCCAGGAUGGCAAAAAAACACUACUUUCUGAAGCUUCACCCAUUGUCCUGGCCCCAGUGGAGAUGCUGGGCUGAGCAAGAGUCUGAGUUCUAUUAACACUGUCACAUUCACCAAGGAAUUCUGCAAUCACUAAUCCUCCAGUCAUUCCCACUCAUGGAUCAUCUGAAAGAGACCUUCCAGCUCAGUUAGCCUCUCUCUGCACUCAGGCCUCCUCAGACUGGAUGCCCUGCUGGUUAAUGAGCACUAGCCCCUAGGCCUGAAGGUCUUCUGCUGCCAUAUAUACUCCAAGGCACCAGUUAAAGUUCUUUGAAGAUGCUAUACCUAAGUGCAAGGAUUUACAGUUGACAGGGCAGGACACAAGCAGAAGCUGAGUCCCUUUCCUCAUCUCGGAAGUUAAAACAAACUGGGUGAUGCAGAAUUUUGUUUUCUACUCUUCAGAGUCCGGAAACUACCUUGCACCUUGAUGCAGAAACUAAACUCCACUUGAUUACACUGGGUUGUUUCAAAGGAGCAGUGCAAGGAAAGCCUGUCUUCACACAGGAAUCAAAGGCCUAUCUCUUUAGAGAGGAAAAUACAUUCCAUCUACCUGGCUUUAUUUCCAAAGUGUCACAGAGAAGUGUCACAGUCAGAAAUCCAUUUUGUGAGAACAGACAAGUCAUGCCACCUUUUUUAGCUUGUCUAUUAGUUCACAAUAAAGCUGACUUUCAAACCUGAGAA